UACGAAGGGGGCUAGCGUUGUUCGGAUUUACUGGGCGUAAAGCGCACGUAGGCGGAUCGUUAAGUCGGGGGUGAAAUCCUGGAGCUCAACUCGGAAACUGCAUCCGAUACUGGUGGACUUGAGGACGGUAGAGGUCGGUGGAAUGCCGAGUGUACCGGUGAAAUGGACAGAUAUUCGGCGGAACACCAGUGGCGAAGGCGGCCGACUGGGCCGUUCCUGACGCUGAGACGCGAAAGCCAGGGGAGCGA
rnacentral:rRNA from 1 species